rnacentral:misc_RNA from 1 species
CAUUUUCUUCUCCUUGCACUGGAAUGUUCUGAAGCUGAACCAUUUGAUUAGCAAGGUGAAAUUUAUUUCCUUGCACAUCAUUUGCCUCUUCCAUUAAAAGAUCAUGACUAUUGAACUCAAAUUCAGGAAAUAAAUCAACCAGAGGCACUGGAAUUCCUCGGUGACUGAUAAAAGAAGCUGGAAUGUUAUUAGGCUGAACCAUUUGACAAACCGGGUGAAAUUCAUUUCCUUGGCUACCAUUCAAGUCCUCUUCCACAGCAAUGUCAUUAGGUUGAACCAAUUGAUAAGCAGGGUUAGA